rnacentral:rRNA from 1 species
UUUACGGUUUCAUUGUAUAUUUUUCUCUUAUCGACUCGUAUCCUUUAUAUCUACCCUCCCACUCGUCAUCCGACCCGUCUCAUCCAAUACGUUUUACGCUUGAUUGUUUGACAGAGUUUAGAAUCAUGAAAUUUAGACAACUUUUAACAAUGGAUCUCUUGGCUCUUGCAACGAUGAAGAACGCAGUAAAGUGCGAAAUGUAGUGCGAUUUGCAUGAAUCUGUGAGUCAUUUAAUCUUUGAACGCAACUUGCGCCGCUCUGCGGCAUGUUUGUUUGAGUGCUAACAAUCAUGUGAUCCAGCGCAAGCUGGGUCAAUUGGUCUUGCCUUGCGGCUUGCAAGGGUUGCAAGGCUUGGCUUGAAACGAGCUAGACAAUGGUUUGUGUAGAUCCAACCGAGUGUCAAGCAUUCUUGGUCGGACCUCCCGAACCAAUCACUUUUACGACCAGCCUCAAAUCAAGCAAGAUUACCCGCUGAACUUAA